GGGCGCAUAGCUCAGCGGGAGAGCGCCCGCCUCACACGCGGGAGGUCGCUGGUUCGAUCCCAGCUGCGCCCACCA
rnacentral:tRNA from 1 species